AGUGAACGCUGGCGGUAGGCCUAACACAUGCAAGUCGAACGGCAGCACAGUAAGAGCUUGCUCUUACGGGUGGCGAGUGGCGGACGGGUGAGGAAUACAUCGGAAUCUACUUUUUCGUGGGGGAUAACGUAGGGAAACUUACGCUAAUACCGCAUACGACCUACGGGUGAAAGCAGGGGAUCUUCGGACCUUGCGCGAUUGAGUGAGCCGAUGUCGGAUUAGCUAGUUGGCGGGGUAAAGGCCCACCAAGGCGACGAUCCGUAGCUGGUCUGAGAGGAUGAUCAGCCACACUGGAACUGAGACACGGUCCAGACUCCUACGGGAGGCAGCAGCGGGGAAUAUUGGACAAUGGGCGCAAGCCUGAUCCAGCCAUACCGCGUGGGUGAAGAAGGCCUUCGGGUUGUAAAGCCCUUUUGUUGGGAAAGAAAAGCAGCAGGUUAAUACCCCGCUGUUCUGACGGUACCCAAAGAAUAAGCACCGGCUAACUUCGUG
rnacentral:rRNA from 1 species